rnacentral:rRNA from 1 species
GAUGAACGCUGGCGGCGUGCCUAAUACAUGCAAGUCGAGCGAACAGACGAGGAGCUUGCUCCUCUGACGUUAGCGGCGGACGGGUGAGUAACACGUGGAUAACCUACCUAUAAGACUGGGAUAACUUCGGGAAACCGGAGCUAAUACCGGAUAAUAUAUUGAACCGCAUGGUUCAAUAGUGAAAGACGGUUUUGCUGUCACUUAUAGAUGGAUCCGCGCCGCAUUAGCUAGUUGGUAAGGUAACGGCUUACCAAGGCAACGAUGCGUAGCCGACCUGAGAGGGUGAUCGGCCACACUGGAACUGAGACACGGUCCAGACUCCUACGGGAGGCAGCAGUAGGGAAUCUUCCGCAAUGGGCGAAAGCUUGACGGAGCAACGCCGCGCGAGUGAUGAAGGUCUUCGGAUCGUAAAACUCUGUUAUUAGGGAAGAACAAAUGUGUAAGUAACUAUGCACGUCUUGACGGUACCUAAUCAGAAAGCCACGGCUAACUACGUG